rnacentral:rRNA from 1 species
AGAACGAACGCUGGCGGCAUGCCUAAUACAUGCAAGUCGAACGAACACUUCGGUGUUAGUGGCGCACGGGUGCGUAACGCGUGGGAAUCUGCCCUUGGGUUCGGAAUAACAGUUGGAAACGACUGCUAAUACCGGAUGAUAUCGAAAGAUCAAAGAUUUAUCGCCCAGGGAUGAGCCCGCGUAGGAUUAGCUAGUUGGUGAGGUAAAGGCUCACCAAGGCGACGAUCCUUAGCUGGUCUGAGAGGAUGAUCAGCCACACUGGGACUGAGACACGGCCCAGACUCCGUACGGGAGGCAGCAGGUAGGGAAUA